rnacentral:rRNA from 1 species
UACGGAGGGUGCAAGCGUUAUCCGGAAUUACUGGGUUUAAAGGGUGCGUAGGCGGUGCAUUAAGUCAGAGGUGAAAGGUUAUCGCUUAACGAUAAGAUUGCCUUUGAUACUGGUGCACUUGAAUCAGAAUGAGGUUGGCGGAAUGUGACAUGUAGCGGUGAAAUGCAUAGAUAUGUCAUGGAACACCGAUUGCGAAGGCA